AGAACGAACGCUGGCGGCAUGCCUAAUACAUGCAAGUCGAACGAACUCUUCGGAGUUAGUGGCGCACGGGUGCGUAACGCGUGGGAAUCUGCCCUUGGGUUCGGAAUAACAGUUGGAAACGACUGCUAAUACCGGAUGAUGACGAAAGUCCAAAGAUUUAUCGCCCAGGGAUGAGCCCGCGUAGGAUUAGCUAGUUGGUGAGGUAAAGGCUCACCAAGGCGACGAUCCUUAGCUGGUCUGAGAGGAUGAUCAGCCACACUGGGACUGAGACACGGCCCAGACUCCUACGGGAGCAGCAGUAGGGAAUAUUGGACAA
rnacentral:rRNA from 1 species